AACGAACGCUGGCGGCAUGCCUAACACAUGCAAGUCGAACGAGACCUUCGGGUCUAGUGGCGCACGGGUGCGUAACGCGUGGGAACCUGCCUUUAGGUUCGGAAUAACUCAGAGAAAUUUGAGCUAAUACCGGAUGAUGUCUUCGGACCAAAGAUUUAUCGCCUUUAGAUGGGCCCGCGUUGGAUUAGCUAGUUGGUGGGGUAAAGGGCUACCAAGGCGACGAUCCAUAGCUGGUCUGAGAGGAUGAUCAGCCACACUGGGACUGAGACACGGCCCAGACUCCUACGGGAGGCAGCAGUGGGGAAUAUUGGACAAUGGGCGAAAGCCUGAUCCAGCAAUGCCGCGUGAGUGAUGAAGGCCUUAGGGUUGUAAAGCUCUUUUACCCGAGAUGAUAAUGACAGUACCGGGAGAAUAAGCUCCGGCUAACUCCGUG
rnacentral:rRNA from 1 species